GUUGCAUAGAUGUCUCUCCAGCUGCAAAGCGGAUCCCUUCCAGGAAGCUGAUGCCUGUCAUCUCGACAUUAGAUCAUAUUGGAUGUGUUGAAUAUGGCUUGAAGUAAGGCAGACCCUGAUGCUGGGAAAGAUUGAAGGCAGGAGGAGAAGGGGACGAGAUGGUUGGAUGGCAUCACCAACUCAAUGGACAUGAAUCUGAGCAAACUCCAGGAGAUGGUGAAAGACAGGGAAGCCUGGCGUGCUUCAGUCCAUAGGGUGCCAAAGAGUCAGACACAAUUGAGUGACUUAACAACAAAGGCUCCACCUGUAGCUUCUAGGUGGUGGAAGGGGUCUUGGCUUCGGGACACGACAUAUGGCUCGGUGACUCCUCAAGAAGCAGGUGAAGCUGUCACAUUCCCAUGUGGCAUGGUUCUCGUGUCCUCUGACCCUUCGCCCAUCUCUGGCAGGCUCAGGAGCCACUCUUGGCAUCACCAGACAAGUCACGGAAAGGCAGCCCUGUGGGAACAGGAAGGAAGAGAAUUGUCUGUUAUUCUGACCUUCACCACAGCAAAAGGAACCACCAGGGAACACACAUCUCUCACCGAAAGCCGUGGAGAACUUGGAAUGAGUGCUUGGUUGUGGAAGAGCAAGGAUGUGAGCCUUGGAGCAGGGCAGACCCAGGUUCAGACGCCGGCUCCACUCCUGACUCCCUGGGACCUGGUGCUUUCAGUGGGGUCCCCGGUCGCCAGGAGCAUCAGCAAGCCCCGAACCUUGUUAGAAAUGCAGAAUCGACUGAAUUGGAAUCUGCAUUUUAAACCAGAUCCCUGGGGAUUCUUACACAAGGUGAAGGUUUGA
rnacentral:lncRNA from 1 species